AGAGUUUGAUCCUGGCUCAGAUUGAACGCUGGCGGCAGGCCUAACACAUGCAAGUCGAGCGGAUGAUGGGAGCUUGCUCCCGGGAUUCAGCGGCGGACGGGUGAGUAAUGCCUAGGAAUCUGCCUGGUAGUGGGGGACAACGUUUCGAAAGGAACGCUAAUACCGCAUACGUCCUACGGGAGAAAGCAGGGGACCUUCGGGCCUUGCGCUAUCAGAUGAGCCUAGGUCGGAUUAGCUAGUUGGUGGGGUAAAGGCCUACCAAGGCGACGAUCCGUAACUGGUCUGAGAGGAUGAUCAGUCACACUGGAACUGAGACACGGUCCAGACUCCUACGGGAGGCAGCAGUGGGGAAUAUUGGACAAUGGGCGAAAGCCUGAUCCAGCCAUGCCGCAUGUGUGAAGAAGGUCUUCGGAUUGUAAAGCACUUUAAGUUGGGAGGAAGGGCAGUAAGUUAAUACCUUGCUGUUUUGACGUUACCAACAGAAUAAGCACCGGCUAACUUCGUGCCAGCAGCCGCGGUAAUACGAAGGGUGCAAGCGUUAAUCGGAAUUACUGGGCGUAAAGCGCGCGUAGGUGGUUUGGUAAGAUGGAU
rnacentral:rRNA from 1 species